rnacentral:rRNA from 1 species
GGGCGAGCUAUACAUGCAAGUCGAGCGGACAGAAGGGAGCUUGCUCCCGGAUGUUAGCGGCGGACGGGUGAGUAACACGUGGGUAACCUGCCUGUAAGACUGGGAUAACUCCGGGAAACCGGAGCUAAUACCGGAUAGUUCCUUGAACCGCAUGGUUCAAGGAUGAAAGACGGUUUCGGCUGUCACUUACAGAUGGACCCGCGGCGCAUUAGCUAGUUGGUGGGGUAAUGGCUCACCAAGGCGACGAUGCGUAGCCGACCUGAGAGGGUGAUCGGCCACACUGGGACUGAGACACGGCCCAGACUCCUACGGGAGGCAGCAGUAGGGAAUCUUCCGCAAUGGACGAAAGUCUGACGGAGCAACGCCGCGUGAGUGAUGAAGGUUUUCGGAUCGUAAAGCUCUGUUGUUAGGGAAGAACAAGUGCGAGAGUAACUGCUCGCACCUUGACGGUACCUAACCAGAAAGCCACGGCUAACUACGUGCCAGCAGCCGCGGUAAUACGUAGGUGGCAAGCGUUGUCCGGAAUUAUUGGGCGUAAAGGGCUCGCAGGCGGUUUCUUAAGUCUGAUGUGAAAGCCCCCGGCUCAACCGGGGAGGGUCAUUGGAAACUGGGAAACUUGAGUGCAGAAGAGGAGAGUGGAAUUCCACGUGUAGCGGUGAAAUGCGUAGAGAUGUGGAGGAACACCAGUGGCGAAGGCGACUCUCUGGUCUGUAACUGACGCUGAGGAGCGAAAGCGUGGGGAGCGAACAGGAUUAGAUACCCUGGUAGUCCACGCCGUAAACGAUGAGUGCUAAGUGUUAGGGGGUUUCCGCCCCUUAGUGCUGCAGCUAACGCAUUAAGCACUCCGCCUGGGGAGUACGGUCGCAAGACUGAAACUCAAAGGAAUUGACGGGGCCCGCACAAGCGGUGGAGCAUGUGGGUUAAUUCGAAGCAACGCGAAGAACCUUACC